rnacentral:rRNA from 1 species
UGGGGAAUAUUGCACAAUGGAGGGAACUCUGAUGCAGCGACGCCGCGUGAACGAAGAAGGCUUUCGAGUCGUAAAGUUCUUUUAUAUGGGAAGAAAAUGACAGUACCAUAGGAAUAAGGACCGGCUAAUUACGUGCCAGCAGCCGCGGUAAUACGUAAGGUCCGAGCGUUGUCCGGAAUCAUUGGGCGUAAAGGGUACGUAGGCGGGUAAGCAAGUUAGAAGUGAAAUCCUGUAGCUCAACUACAGUAAGCUUUUAAAACUGCUCAUCUUGAGAUAUGGAAGGGAAAGUGGAAUUCCUAGUGUAGCGGUGAAAUGCGCAGAUAUUAGGAGGAAUACCGGUGGCGAAGGCGACUUUCUGGCCAUAAUCUGACGCUGAGGUACGAAAGCGUGGGUAGCAAACAGG